rnacentral:misc_RNA from 1 species
AACACUGUUAACCUGCGGUACCUGCGGAGGGAUCAUUACCGAGUUUACAACUCCCAAACCCCUGUGAACAUACCACUUGUUGCCUCGGCGGAUCAGCCCGCUCCCGGUAAAACGGGACGGCCCGCCAGAGGACCCCUAAACUCUGUUUCUAUAUGUAACUUCUGAGUAAAACCAUAAAUAAAUCAAAACUUUUAACAAUGGAUCU